UUUAAUAAUCCCAAGCAAAACAAAACAAGGCAAAGCCCAGCCUUCAUUAUUAUUAUCAGAGUUAUUUCUCAGGUAAAUCUCUAAAUUCAUCCUCUCCCAAAAACUGAAGCUGAAUCUAUAUUUCUCUUAUUACUAUUAUCAGAGUUAUUUCUCAGGCUUUCUUGUUUAAAUGUCGAGUAGCUCCAAAAGUGAUGGAGACAGCUCUUUUGAUGCUGAGGAACUUUUGCAAAUUGGGACUCGAUGCAGAGAGCUGCGAAAAGAAAAGGACAUGUUGAGAGAUUCACAGCCCCAGAGCUUUGAACUUAUCAGGAGAUUAGAACUACAUGUUAAACAAUUAUCAGAGGCUCGUACUGAAGACAAGAAACACAUUCAGAAGUUGGAAAGAGAGCUGUUGAACUGCUCUCAAGAGAUAGAUUACUUGCAGGAUCAGCUAAAUGCGAGGAAUUCAGAGGUAUACACCCUGGGGGGGCAUGUGCAUGAGCUUGAGUUGAAAUUAGCAAAUAUGGAACAUUUACAAGCAAACAAUGGCCAGUUAAGGGAGGAACUGAAAAGGUGUGAUUCAGAGCACUUGUUAUUGUUACAGGAACUAGAGAGCAAAGAAAUAGAGUUGCAGGAGUCAGCUUUGUGCAUAGGGAAGCUGGAGGAGUCGAUUUCAUCUCUAACUCUAGAUUCCCAAUGUGAAAUAGAGAGCAUGAAGCUUGAUAUGAUAGCUUUGGAGCAGGCUUGCUUUAAAGCUAAAAAAACCCAGGAAGAAACCAUCCAAGAAAAUGCUAGGAUGAAUGGGUUAAUUAAAGAACUUGAAUUUCAGAUUCUUGAGGCAAAGGAAACUAUUGAAUGUGUAGAGAAAGAGAACAUAGAAUUGAGGGACAAACUUGUUACGUCUGAUGUGAACUCUAAAUUAUUUCUUCAGCAGAUUGAGGAAUGGCUUGAAAACAAGGACACAUCACAACUUAAUACUCAAUCAUGCUCAAGUGAGAUAGAGCACCAAAGUAAUAUGUCAAAAGAAAUGAGAGAGGCCUUAGGUCCAUGCUUUUCAAAGCUUGCAACGCUAUUGGGAUCAGAAUCAAAUUUGAAGGAGUGGAUGGAGAGCAUGUCACAUCAGAUAAGAAAAUAUGAAGUUCUUGUGAAGCAGCUUAAGGAUGAAUUGAGAGAGGAAAAAUCAAAGGCAAAGGAAGAAGCGGAUGACCUAGCACAAGAAAUGGCUGAACUGCGGUACCAAAUGACGGGUUUGCUUGAAGAGGAGUGCAAGCGCCGUGCUUGCAUUGAACAAGCAUCUUUGCAGAGAAUAUCUGAACUAGAGGCACAGAUUGAAAGAGAACGGAGGAAAUUUUUUGCUGCUGUCGGGCAUCUCCAUGAAGCAGCAUAGGCAUUAAGAACUGUGGAAAUCCAUUAAUUGGAAAUAAGGGUUCAGGGCACUGGUUUGCCACAUGUCUUUGCCAUGCCAAAUUCAUUGGGUGGGGGGUUCCAGUUAAAGCUACCAUGGCCAUGCGUUCAGCUGUCCAGACAGCUAAUUCUGAUCAACUGUAUCGAUUAUCUCUGAAUUCUCUCUACUGGCAUGCUGCUAUGGUUGGAUCAUAACUGGGUCAUGGCCUUUCUCUAGCAUUGAGGGGGAAAAUAGAAACAAGAUUGCAGUUGCUUUCUUAUUUGAUUUAAGCUUCUGUUGAAGAGGUGGUGACUUCAUUUGCAAUUUAUACAAGCCAAAGAAGUGUGUCCAACUAGUAGGGUUUCUUCCAUGACAGGAUGAUUUUUGAGAUUUCUGACAGAAAUCCGUACAGUAUGGAGCCUCAGGGAACAUGUCAAUACAUAUCAGUUAUAUUUUACAUUUACAAAUGAAGGGCUAUGAGCAAUAUUUACUUCGUUGCUAUAUUUUUUUGGGUCUGAUGAACGCGACAUUGAACGAUAUUCUGCACCGCAUUUUAGUGGGAACACAAUAGAUUAAUCUGAAUGUAUAGGGUGUGAGUUUGUGCCUUAACCAUUUGUUUUACUGUUCACCACUCCGUGGCUUGGGAUGCUUUGAUUAAUCAAACAGCAAUCUGUCAUUUGAAUUUUCUA